rnacentral:piRNA from 1 species
UAAUGCUGAACUGGCUACAGAAAUCAGUGU